rnacentral:rRNA from 1 species
AGGGAAUAUUGGUCAAUGGACGCAAGUCUGAACCAGCCAUGCCGCGUGGAGGAUGAAGGUCCUUUGGAUUGUAAACUCCUUUUAUUUGAGAAGAAAUCCCCCUUUCUAGGGGUGUUGACGGUAUCAGAUGAAUAAGCACCGGCUAACUCCGUGCCAGCAGCCGCGGUAAUACGGAGGGUGCGAGCAUUAUCCGGAUUUACUGGGUUUAAAGGGUGCGCAGGUGGGUGGAUAAGUCAGCGGUGAAAUCCCCGAGCUUAACUUGGGAACUGCCGUUGAUACUAUCUACCUUGAGUGUUGUGGAGGUGAACAGAAUAUAUCAUGUAGCGGUGAAAUGCUCAGAUAUGAUAUAGAAUACCGAUUGCGAAGGCCGUUCACUACGCAAUUACUGACACUCAGGCACGAAAGCGUGGGGAUCAAACAGGAUUAGAUACCCUGGUAGUCCACGCCCUAAACUAUGGAUACUCGACAUUAGCGAUAUACGGUUAGUGUCUGAGCGAAAGCAUUAAGUAUCCCACCUGGGAAGUACGAUCGCAAGGUUG